GACGAACGCUGGCGGCGUGCUUAGCACAUGCAAGUCGAACGGAAAGGCCCUGCUUUUGUGGGGCGCUCGAGUGGCGAACGGGUGAGUAACACGUGAGUAACCUGCCCUUGACUUUGGGAUAACUUCAGGAAACUGGGGCUAAUACCGGAUAGGAGCUCCUGCUGCAUGGUGGGGGUUGGAAAGUUUCGGCGGUUGGGGAUGGACUCGCGGCUUAUCAGCUUGUUGGUGGGGUAGUGGCUUACCAAGGCUUUGACGGGUAGCCGGCCUGAGAGGGUGACCGGCCACAUUGGGACUGAGAUACGGCCCAGACUCCUACGGGAGGCAGCAGUGGGGAAUAUUGCACAAUGGGCGGAAGCCUGAUGCAGCAACGCCGCGUGCGGGAUGACGGCCUUCGGGUUGUAAACCGCUUUCGCCUGUGACGAAGCGUGAGUGACGGUAAUGGGUAAAGAAGCACCGGCUAACUACGUG
rnacentral:rRNA from 1 species